rnacentral:rRNA from 1 species
GAUGAACGCUGGCGGCGUGCCUAAUACAUGCAAGUCGAGCGAACAGACGAGGAGCUUGCUCCUCUGACGUUAGCGGCGGACGGGUGAGUAACACGUGGAUAACCUACCUAUAAGACUGGGAUAACUUCGGGAAACCGGAGCUAAUGCCGGAUAAUAUAUUGAACCGCAUGGUUCAAUAGUGAAAGACGGUUUUGCUGUCACUUAUAGAUGGAUCCGCGCCGCAUUAGCUAGUUGGUAAGGUAACGGCUUACCAAGGCAACGAUGCGUAGCCGACCUGAGAGGGUGAUCGGCCACACUGGAACUGAGACACGGUCCAGACUCCUACGGGAGGCAGCAGUAGGGAAUCUUCCGCAAUGGGCGAAAGCUUGACGGAGCAACGCCGCGUGAGUGAUGAAGGUCUUCGGAUCGUAAAACUCUGUAAUUAGGGAAGAACAAAUGUGUAAGUAACUAUGCACGUCUUGACGGUACCUAAUCAGAAAGCCACGGCUAACUACGUG